CACGGCUCCUCCACCAUCCGGCACCUGAAGGAGCCGCUUCUUUCCCAUUUUAUCCCCCAUUUUUCUCAUUAAUUUCCCCAUAUUUUUUUCCCAUUUCCCCACUAUUUUUCCCCAUAUUUUUUUCCCAUUUCCCCCAUUAUUUUUCCCAUUUUUCCCAUAUUUUUUCCCCCAUUUUUCUUCCCAUUUCCCCCAUAUUUUCCCCAUUAUUUCCCCACUAUUUUCCCCCCAUUUCCCCACUAUUUUUCCCCAUAUUUUUUUCCCAUUUCCCCACUAUUUUUCCCCAUAUUUUUUUCCCAUUUCCCCACUAUUUCCCCCCAUUUUUCCCAUAUUUUUCCCCAUUAUUUCCCCAUAUUUUCCCCAUAUCUUUCCCCCAUUUCCCCACUAUUUUUCCCCAUAUUUUUUUCCCAUUUCCUCACUAUUUCCCCCAUAUUUUUCCCAUUUUUCCCCCAUUAUUUCCCCAUAUUUUCCCCAUUUUUUUCCCCAUAUUUUUCCCCCAUUUCCCCAUAUUUUUCCCCAUAUUUUUUUCCCAUUUCCCCACUAUUUUCCCCCAUUUCCCAGGCUCCCAGCUGCCGUGUUUCCACGGCUCCUCCACCAUCCGGCACCUGAAGGAGCCGCUUCUUUCCCAUUUUAUCCCCAUUUUCCCCAUUAUUUCCCCAUAUUUUCCCCAUAUUUUUUUCCCAUUUCCCCACUAUUUUCCCCCAUUUUUCCCUUUCUUUCCCUCAUUUUUUCUCCUUUUUUGUCCCCCAUUUUCCCCCAUUUUAUCCCCCAUUUUUCCCAUUUUUUCCCCCAUAUUUUUCCCCCAUUUCCCCAUAUUUUUCCCCAUUAUUUUUUCCCAUUUCCCCCCCAUUUCCCCCAUAUUUUUCCCAUUAUUUCCCCAUAUUUUCCCCAUAUUUUUCCCAUUAUUUCCCCAUUUUUUCCCCAUUUUUCCCCCAUUAUUUCCCCAUUUUUUCCCCAUAUUUUUCCCCCAUUUCCCCACUAUUUUCCCCCAUUAUUUCCCCAUAUUUUUCCCAUUAUUUCCCCAUUAUUUUUUCCCAUUUCCCCACUAUUUCCCCCCAUUUCCCAGGCUCCCAGCUGCCGUGUUUCCACGGCUCCUCCACCAUCCGGCACCUGAAGGAGCCGCUUCUUUCCCAUUUUAUCC
rnacentral:lncRNA from 1 species